rnacentral:rRNA from 1 species
GACGAACGCUGGCGGCGUGCUUAACACAUGCAAGUCGAACGAUGAAGCCCAGUUUGCUGGGUGGAUUAGUGGCGAACGGGUGAGUAACACGUGGGCAACCUGCCCCAAACUCUGGGAUAACUCCUCGAAAGAGGUGCUAAUACCGGAUACGAACUAGACAGACAUCUGUACUAGUUGGAAAGUUUUUCGGUUUGGGAUGGGCCCGCGGCCUAUCAGCUUGUUGGUGAGGUAACGGCUCACCAAGGCUACGACGGGUAACCGGCCUGAGAGGGCGACCGGUCACACUGGGACUGAGACACGGCCCAGACUCCUACGGGAGGCAGCAGUGGGGAAUAUUGCGCAAUGGGCGAAAGCCUGACGCAGCGACGCCGCGUGAGGGAUGAAGGUCUUCGGAUCGUAAACCUCUUUCAGUAGGGACGAAGCGAAAGUGACGGUACCUAAAGAAGAAGCACCGGCUAACUACGUGCCAGCAGCCGCCGCAG